GCUUACGGCCAUACCACCUUAGGCACGCCCGAUCUCGUCUGAUCUCGGAAGCUAAGCAGGGUCGGGCCUGGUUAGUACUUGGAUGGUUGACCGCCUGGGAAUACCAGGUGCUGUAAGCA
ensembl:rRNA 5S_rRNA 5S ribosomal RNA